AGCAGCCGCGGUAAUUCCAGCUCCAAUAGCGUAUAUUAAAGUUGUUGCAGUUAAAAAGCUCGUAGUUGAAUUUCGGGAUCAGUACGCUGGUCGUGCCUCCGGUAUGUACUGGUGUCACUGGUUCCUCCCUUCUGAAGAACCAUCAUGCUAUUCAUUUAGUGUGGUGGGAAAUCAGGACUGUUACUUUGAAAAAAUUAGAGUGUUUAAAGCAGGCUCACGCUUGAAUACAUUAGCAUGGAAUAAUGAAAUAGGACGUUGAUCCUAUUUUGUUGGUUUCUAGGAUUGACGUAAUGAUUAAUAGGGAUAGUUGGGGGCAUUAGUAUUCAAUUGUCAGAGGUGAAAUUCUUGGAUUUAUUGAAGACUAACUACUGCGAAAGCAUUUGCCAAGGAUGUUUUCAUUAAUCAAGAACGAAAGUUAGGGGAUCGAAGACGAUCAGAUACCGUCGUAGUCUUAACCAUAAACUAUGCCGACUAGGGAUCGGAUGAUGUUAAUUUUUAAUGUA
rnacentral:rRNA from 1 species